GACGAGUUGGCCGAGUGGUUAAGGCGAUGGACUGCUAAUCCAUUUUGCUCUGCACGCGUGGGUUCGAAUCCCAUACUCGUCG
rfam:Ciona savignyi cont_3715, whole genome shotgun sequence.